rnacentral:rRNA from 1 species
GUCGCGUGGGGCUUAAAAACAUCUCUCUUUGUUAUAUUAUAUAUAAAGAGUUGGGCCUGCUCGGUGAUGAUUAUUUUUAACAGCUGCGGUAUUUUAACUGUACUAAGGUAGCAUAAUAGUUUGCCUUAUAAUUUGAGGCUAGAAUGAAUGGUUUGACGAAGGUUAAUCUGUCUCUAUUUUAUUUAAUAGAAGUUAAUUUUUAAGUGAGAAGGCUUGAAUUUUUUAAAGGGACGAGAAGACCCUAUUGAGCUUGUAAUUUUAUUUUAUUGUUUAUUAGGAUAGUAAAGUAUAAAUUUUAAUUGGGGUGAUUAAGGAAUAAGAUAAUAUAAGAUAACUUCCUUAAAGGUUAGUAUAGGUGUAUGAAGUAACCAAUAAAUUAUAUUGCUUAUAUUAUAGUUACCAUAGGGAUAACAGCGUAAUUUACUUAGAGAGUUCUUAUUGAAAAGUGAGAUUGCGACCUCGAUGUUGGAUUAAAGUAACCUUAAGGUGUAGAAGCUUUAUUAGGUAAAUCUGUUCGAUUUUUAAAACUUUACAUGAUCUGA